rnacentral:tRNA from 1 species
CUAAGGAUGGUUCUUCAGAAGCUUGCUUCUAUCGAACCGUUUUAGAAACAUCAGUGGCCAACAGAUCGCCAGAUCGUUGUGCUGCAUUGGCGGGAUUUCGCCGUCUACGUUUCUCUUUCUUCGCGGACGAACACGCGCUGGGGCUGCUAGCUUGCAGAAUCCCUGGUCCUUAACAGGAUAUGCGUUAGGGGCUUGUAGCUCAGUUGGUUAGAGCGCGCGCUUGAUAAGCGUGAGGUCGGAAGUUCAAGUCUUCCCAGGCCCACCACUUUCAUCGAGUGAGCAUUCGUCUUCUGGUUACGGGGCCAUAGCUCAGCUGGGAGAGCGCGUGCUUUGCAAGCAUGAGGUCGUCGGUUCGAUCCCGUCUGGCUCCACCAGAUGGUUUGAUCACCGAGAUCUUGUACCGUCGUCCGCGAAACAUCACUUCGCACUUACUAGUCUGGAUAGACAGUAAGCUGCGUGAUUUCUGACAUCGUAAAGAGGAGAUCGAUCCGAGUUGGAUCGUGCGGCAAGCAAUUGCCACGCGAGACUUCAUUAUCUCCGGAUCAUUUCGGCGCUCGUGCGUCUUUCGAAGGUAGCUCACAAGGCUGCGCUCGAGAGGCAAGCGAGUUGUAAAUGAUCCUUUUAGCGAAGCUUGACCGCCUCGCUAUCGGAACGAUCUUACGAAGCAAGCUGGUCUUUCUAGUCAAUGUCCGGCUGUACGUAGCGUUCAUCGAGGGCGCGUGCCGCAAGGCAAUCGUACAGACAACAUUCUGCCGAGUGUGUGGACAUUGAUAAUGAGAGC